rnacentral:miRNA from 1 species
CAGGCAGCUGAAGCAAGCCUGA